rnacentral:rRNA from 1 species
GAUGAACGCUGGCGGCGUGCCUAAUACAUGCAAGUCGAGCGAACGGACGAGAAGCUUGCUUCUCUGAUGUUAGCGGCGGACGGGUGAGUAACACGUGGAUAACCUACCUAUAAGACUGGGAUAACUUCGGGAAACCGGAGCUAAUACCGGAUGAUAUUUUGAACCGCAUUGUUCAAAAGUGAAAGACGGUCUUGCUGUCACUUAUAGCUGUAUCCGCGCUGCAUUAGCUAGUUGGUAAGGUAAUGGCUUACCAAGGCAACGAUGCAUAGCCGCCCUGAGAGGGUGAUCGGCCACACUGGAACUGAGACACGGUCCAGACUCCUACGGGAGGCAGCAGUAGGGAAUCUUCCGCAAUGGGCGAAAGCCUGACGGAGCACCGCCGCGUGAGUGAUGAAGGUCUUCGGAUCGUAAAACUCUGUUAUUAGGGAAGAACAUAUGUGUAAGUAACUGUGCACAUCUUGACGGUACCUAAUCAGAAAGCCACGGCUAACUACGUG